GCCAGACUCCUACGGGAGGCAGCAGUGGGGAAUAUUGCACAAUGGGGGAAACCCUGAUGCAGCGACGCCGCGUGAGUGAGGAAGUAUUUCGGUAUGUAAAGCUCUAUCAGCAGGGAAGAAAAAAUGACGGUACCUGACUAAGAAGCACCGGCUAAAUACGUGCCAGCAGCCGCGGUAAUACGUAUGGUGCAAGCGUUAUCCGGAUUUACUGGGUGUAAAGGGAGCGCAGGCGGUACGGCAAGUCUGAUGUGAAAGCCCGGGGCUCAACCCCGGUACUGCAUUGGAAACUACCGGACUGGAGUGUCGGAGGGGUAAGUGGAAUUCCUAGUGUAGCGGUGAAAUGCGUAGAUAUUAGGAGGAACACCAGUGGCGAAGGCGGCUUACUGGACGAUCACUGACGCUGAGGCUCGAAAGCGUGGGGAGCAAACAGGAUUAGAUACCCUAGUAU
rnacentral:rRNA from 1 species